AACUCGUGGUGAGGGCAUGAACGGAUCAUCUCCUUAAACCGCUCACAAGCUUCUACAAGAGUCUCGUCAUUUUGUUACUCAAAUGAGGAUAUCUUCCUCCUUAUGUC
rfam:Beta vulgaris subsp. vulgaris chromosome 8, whole genome shotgun sequence.